rnacentral:lncRNA from 9 species
GUGCUCUGCCAUCACGUCGCCUCUGAUACUUUAGGAGGGUAGAGUCAUCUGGAAGCUAAAUGAUAUUGAUUCGAACAAUCCUGCUUACAACUUAACAAAGCUAAGAAACGUUUCUUGGAGGUGAAGUGACUGGUUCCAGGUAAAGAGGCCAGCAAGACUGUUCUCCAUGAUACCACACUGCUUAUUAGAAGGUCUCCUUCUGUUUCCACCUUCUUCCUUCUCUUUGUGUACUCUACUUAAAGACAUCAGAGCAAGGAUCUGGCCACCAAAUGUGUCACCAUCAUCUCUGCUGGGCUCAGCUUUCCCACUAAGACUACCUUUGGCAUUACCAAAAGAUGUACCUAAGAUAAGAGAAGACCUCUUUACUUGACCUAGACCUCAUGAAACCAUGGAACCACUAUCAACAUCUGGAGGACUCCUAGACUCAACUGUCCCAAACCAUCUGGACCAGUGUUAGAAAUACAGCAAUUUCAAUACCAGUGAGAUCACUCCAGUUUCUUAGAGCCCAAUGCCCUUAACAUGAUAUAUGCAAUCUACAGAAGACAGCAUAUAAUAUGUCACACACAUGAAUUAUAAUCUACAGGAUCCUGGAUGAUGCAGUGGUUGAGAGGGUAAUUUCUAAAGACACAACCUGUUUUCAAAUGUACCUGUGAUGUUCAUAGAGUGUAUAAGCACAUGCAAGUUACCUGAUCCAUCUGUACCUCAGUUUCUUCCUCUAGAAAACUGAGGUAUGUAGCCCCUAAUUCAUAGGGUUGUCAUAAGGAUAAAUGAAAUAAUUAAUUCAAAGAUCUUUAAGAUGUGCAUGGAACACAGUACACUCUUGAUGAAUUUAGUUAUUUUCUUAUUACUUCUAACACACCUUAUCAAUUGUAUUCCUUAUAACUCCACAGCACAAAACUUCUAACCAUACAUAUUAUACAUUUUCAUGUCUUCAUGACUCUAUUUUUAACAUCUACCUGGAUCUUCUUCCUCUAAAUUCUCCCUGGUGAUGCCUUCCUCAUCUCUCAGUGUUCAGCAUAAAUUUCUUUUUCUGAGUGAUGCCCUCUCUGGUUGAUAGUCUCCAGAGGAGGCCUCUAAUAAUUCCUCUGCAUACUUGUGCAAUUUCUCACACUCAGGGUGGGCAACUCAAUGCCCUACCUUUGAAUUUGGGCUGGUCUUAGAACUGGCUUGGAAUAUAGAAUGUGGUAGAAGUAUAUUCUGAAGCUGUCAAAUCCAGGUCUUCACCUCCUGCUCUUGGAACCCAACCAUAAUGCUAUGAGGAGCACAUGCCACACAGAGAUGUUACACAGGGGGAACCAAGGCACACUGGUUUAAAGCCCCAGCUUAGCCUGCAGCUGAUGCCAGCGCCAACCCUUAGUCAUAUGAAUGAGCCAUGUUCGAUGGUCCAGCCCCGUCAAGUCCCAGAAAACUGCAGCCUUAGCCAUAACAAUGUACCCAUCUGAGCUUAGUCAGCCCAAAGAAACAUAAGAAAUAAUAAAUUAAUAAACUAUAGUGGCUCGAAACGGUAAUAAAAUGGUUUUAAGCCAUGAUGUUUUAGUUGUUUUAUUACAGCAAUAAUACAGGUUGUUUAUUACAGCAAUGCCAAAAUAUCAUUCAUAAAACUCCUGUACAGAGCAGGUAUUUCUUGAGCUAAUAAUCUCAUAAUUCUAUUACGUAUUUGAACAAACUGUAUUAUAACUAUUUGUUUUUAUGUCUAUCUCCUCUAGUGAGAGUCUAAAAACUAGUAACUAUGGACUUAAGGAAAGAUUUUUUUUCAAAAUAAAUUUCCAAAAAAGUAACAGCAUUUACAACAGUUAGAACAAAGGUGUAAAUUCAAAAGUCACCCUCAACCUGUCAUUUUGGCAAUCUCUAACCCUUUGUAAAUUUGAAGUGAGUCAUAGGAAGGGUAAGACUUGUUUUCCCAAAACAAUGAUCAGAUGAAUUAAUGUUAUAAUUUCUACCUAGAGCCCUGUUUAUACACCACCUUAUUCUGAUAACUGAAAAAAGAAAAUAAAGAAAAAGGAAAUAAAGAGGCCAAAGUCAGCCAAGAUUGUUUGUUUGUUUAUUUUAUUUUUUUUUUAUAAAGAAGAACAAGAAGGAAAGGGAACUUGUUUCAUUAGCCAUAACAAUUUUUUGGAGGCUGGGAAAGAGAGUGAUUAUAAAUAUGGACAAUGGAGCCAGGUGGCCUGGGUUUUCAUUUCAGCCUCACAAUCUGGGUUUGAAUUCCACCUAUACAUUUUUGUGGCAAGUCAGUUAACCUGUCUGUGCCUCAGUUUCCUUGUUGAUAAAAUGGAGAUCAUGAGAGCCACCUACUGCGUGGGGGCUCUGUUAAGAAUGAAAUGAGUCAAUACAUCAUAAAUCACAUAGAAUGAUGCCUGACAUUCAGUACGACUGGUUAUCUGAUGCUACUCUUCCUGCUGCUCUUCUUCCUGCUCCUCCUUCUCCUAUUACUACUGUUAAAAAUGCAUAGUAAUGAAGAGAAUAUCAUUUUAGGUCAUGGCUAGACAGAAAGGUCACUGAAACUAUACAGUAAACAGUACUUGACAAUUAGCUUCCUAACGUAUGCUAGACACAGAAAUAAAUUCCAAGAAGAGUUUUUUAUAAAACAGAAAAGCUUUGUAACACAGAAGAAAAUAUAGGAAAAUGUCCUUAACAGCUUGGUUUAUGAGGGGGAAAAAACCUUAAACUAGAUAUAAAAAAAGCACAAAACAUUAAGGAAAUAAUUUUUAAAUUUGACCAUAUUAAAUCUUUGAAAUUCUGUGCAAACAAACAAAUAAAAUAUGCCAUACAGCUGAAGGACAAACAAGAGGGUGGGAAAAGAAGUUUCUCAGGAUUAGUGUCUAAAAUAUGUGAAGAACUAUGGAUCAAUCAUAAAAGGCAAAUAACCCAAUAUGAAAUGGGCAAGAUGAUAAGCCAGCUUGCACAAAGGAAACACAAAUGGUCAACAACA